GAUGAACGCUAGCGACAGGCCUAACACAUGCAAGUCGAGGGGCAGCACAUGCGUAGCAAUACAAUGGUGGCGACCGGCGCACGGGUGAGUAACACGUAUGCAACCUACCUGUAAGAGGGGAAUAACCCGGAGAAAUUCGGACUAACACCGCAUAAUACCUCGAAGCUGCUUGGCUUUGAGGUUAAAUAUUUAUAGCUUACAGAUGGGCAUGUGUAACAUUAGAUAGUUGGUGAGGUAACGGCUCACCAAGUCAACGAUGUUUAGGGGUUCUGAGAGGAAGGUCCCCCACACUGGUACUGAGACACGGACCAGACUCCUACGGGAGGCAGCAGUGAGGAAUAUUGGUCAAUGGGCGAGAGCCUGAACCAGCCAAGUCGCGUGAAGGAAGAAGGUUCUAUGGAUUGUAAACUUCUUUUGUAAGGGAAUAAAAAAGCUUACGUGUAGGCUAUUGUAUGUACUUUACGAAUAAGGAUCGGCUAACUCCGUGCCAGCCGCCGCUGUAACAC
rnacentral:rRNA from 1 species